UCUAAAGUUGCCGAGCAUGAAGGAACCAACCCAUAAAGGAUCAUGCCAUUUGCUUAUGAAAUCUAUAAUGUAAGGGACAUGCAACGACGUCAGAGGCAAGGGCUGCGGCGUGAGGGGAAGUCAAACUCGAAGCCGUGGAAAGCUAUCUUCGCGCUCCGAUUUGUCUGAUAUUCUCCUUUGGCCAAUCGAUAAAGAUCUCACCCUGGAAAGCUAUCUUCGCCGACAGAUAUAUCUGAAUUCAUUUCCUUGGUCUAUCAAUAGAGAAUUAGGAUAGCUUUCAGACGCAGUUUAAAGCGGGGUAAGAUAUGAAAGUUAAUAUGUUAGGAAGCUAACUUCGCCCACAAAUUUAUCUGAAUUAAUUCCAUUGGUCCAUCGAUAAAGAAUCAGAAUAGAUUUCAGACGCAAUUUUAAUCGGGGUGAAGUAAGAUAAAAU
rnacentral:lncRNA from 1 species